rnacentral:rRNA from 1 species
CGGGGAUCCUGUUUAAGAAGGGGACCGGGAAAGCCCCCCGUCUUUUAUCUAAGGGGGUCCCCUAGUAACGGSGARUGARRARGGAAGAGCUCAAAUUURRAAGCUGGUACCUCCGGUAUCCGCGUUGUAACCUCGAGACACGUUUUCCGUGCGGCGCUAUGGACAAGUUCCUUGGAACAGGACAUCGUAGAGGGUGAAAAUCCCGUACUUGCCAUGGAUGUACCGUGCUUUGCGAUACGUGCUCUAAGAGUCGAGUUGUUUGGGAUUGCAGCUCAAAAUGGGUGGUAGACUCCAUCUAAAGCUAAAUAUCGGGGAGAGACCGAUAGCGAACAAGUACCGUGAGGGAAAGAUGAAAAGCACUUUGGAAAGAGAGUUAAAAGUACGUGAAAUUGUCGAAAGGGAAGCGCUUGAAGUCAGCCAUGCCGCUCAGGACUCAGCCUGGCUUUUGCUUGGUGUAUUUCCUGGGUAGCAAGUCAGCAUUGGUUUGGAUCGUCGGAGAAGCAUAGUCGGAAUGUGGCGCCCUCGGGCGUGUUAUAGCCUUCUAUUGGAUACGACGAUCUAGACCAAGGAACGCAGCGCGCMUUAUGGYSGGUCYUMGGACMCCYUCGCGCUUAGGUCUGGGGGCAAAAUUUGAGGGGGGGGGGGUGGGCCCCCCCCCCCAAAAAAGGGACCCCC